AUUGAACGCUGGCGGCAGGCCUAACACAUGCAAGUCGAACGAGUGGCGGACGGGUGAGUAAUGUAUGGGAAACUGCCUGAUGGAGGGGGAUAAAUACUGGAAACGGUUGCUAAUACCGCAUACCAGCGGAUGUGCCCAGAUGGGAUGAGCUAGUAGGUGGGGUAAAGGCGCACCUAGGGGACGAUCCCUCGCUGGUCUGAGAGGAUGACCAGCCACACGUGAACUGAGACACGGUCCAGACUCCUACGGGAGGCAGCAGUGGGGAAUAUUGCACAAUGGGCGCAAGCCUGAUGCAGCCAUGCCUCGUGUAUGACGAAGGCCUUCGGGUUGUAAAGUACUUUCAGCGGGGAGGCGUUACCCGCAGAAUAAGCACCGGCUAACUCCGUGCCAGCAGCCGCGGUAAUUC
rnacentral:rRNA from 1 species